rnacentral:tRNA from 1 species
UCGGCGCUGGUGAAGUUGUCACGCCCGGCCUCGCGCGCCGCGGCGUCCAUCAUGCGCCGUUGCAGUCGGCUCGCCGGC